rnacentral:rRNA from 1 species
UGUUGACCUCGGAUCAGGUAGGGAUACCCGCUGAACUUAA